GAAAACUGUGAUUUUAUAGCCGGAGAUCUGAACCCAGCUGUGCCCCUCCCCCAGGGGCGUGAGGCUGAUUGGUGAAGACGGGAGGAAGGAUUUCAAUUUCUGACUCAAGAAGCAUUUUUGGUUUCAGAUUUUUUUUUUCCUGUAAUGUUAAACUCUUUGGCUUUAAGUAAAAAUCCAAAAAGUUUUUUUAAAAAAGCAAAGGAAGCAUACUUGUGAACUACCUUGCUAGCUAGCCAGCCAAGGAUACCGGACACACCUCUGCUCCAAAGGAAAUCCAAAAAAGCAAACACAAGAAAUCAAAAUCCAAAAUUUGUCACUGCCAAAGUAUGUUUUUCACUGUUUUACUUGCCCUUGGGUUUGUUUGGAUGUGGGUCUUUUUCUCUUCUGUCCUGGUUUUGUUUGUGGGUGUUGGGAUAUUGGGGUGCAGAGGGUUGGUGCCCAGUGGGUCUUUUUCUCUUCUGUCCUGGUUUUGUUUGUGGGUGUCGGGAUAUUAGGGUGCAGAGGGUUGGUGCCCGGUGGGUCUUUUUCUCUUCUGUCCUGGUUUUGUUUGUGGGUGUCGGGAUAUUGGGGUGCAGAGGGUUGGUGCCCAGUGAGAAACGAGUUUUGUUCCCUUCCGCGUAGGCGUUGGUGCGUCCGCCGCGUGUGCGCGGUCUGUGUGCCGUCGCCGCGGCCUGCGUCUCCAUGUGUGUAGGGAAGGACACGCCGUCUGUCCUCACGCCCCCUGUGACUUUUCAUACUUUGUUUUUCCACUUGUGGAAAAAAGUGCUAAAGUUUUCUUCCCAGAGAGAGCAUAAUUCCGAAACAAAACUGUGACAAUCUUUUGGGUUGAUUCUCGACUGCUUUUCAAGCACGCGGAGCCAGCAGGGCUCCCUGAAACACGGCUUCUCAGCCAGCCCGUCCUCCUCUACCUCUCUCCUCUCCACGCCCUCCAACCUCUCUCGGCCCCAUCGCCCCAACCCCAGCGUCUCACUGCAGCUACUCCCCUUUCUUCCAAACUUUUGCAGAAAAACAAAACAAAAAAACUACAAACAAAAGCAGCCCUUUGCGUCCUCCCCAGGAAAGACCCUGACCAUGUACAUAGCCCUGGUGCUCCUGCCCUGCCACCCCUCAGAUGCGUUUGCCUCUGGCCCUGGGGUGUGUCUCGGUGACAUUUUCUAUCAGAUAUGCUCCCUCCCACCUUCCAGCCCUGCCCAUCCUCCCUCCAUUCCUCUCAGCUCCCUCCGCGAUUUCAAGAAGGAAAUAAAGGGAUAAAGAAAUUCAUGCUUGCACUGAGUGCAAGGACAGACAACAGCAGGCGCGGCCCACGGCCUGGCAUCUGUGUGCGUGGCUAUCAGGAGUUCCAGGAACUCAGUGCAAUACCGGAGUGACCCAGCUACUGAAGCGGCCGUGAACGGCCCACGAGAGGCCCGAAGCCGAGAGUGUACGUUAAUGUGAAUGUAUAUAGUCUUUGCAGAGGUCCAAAUAAUAUUCAUGAUGGUAAUAAAGAAGAGAUGUUUGCCAAAUAAAAAAGAAAAAGUUAA
rnacentral:lncRNA from 1 species